rnacentral:rRNA from 1 species
GUCCACACAGUAAACGAUGAAUACUCGCUGUUUGCGAUAUACCGCAAGCGGCCAAGCGAAAGCAUUAAGUAUUCCACCUGGGGAGUACGCCGGCAACGGUGAAACUCAAAGGAAUUGACGGGGGCCCCGCACAAGCGGAGGAACAUGUGGUUUAAUUCGAUGAUACGCGAGGAACCUUACCCAGGCUUAAAUUGCAGAUGAAUAUAGUGGAAACAUUAUAGCCUUCGGGCAUCUGUGAAGGUGCUGCAUGGUUGUCGU